CGUUUAAAAGUUAUUCAUUUAAUCAACCACAUGUUAAAUUAGUUUACAUUUCAAACAAAAAUCACUAUGCUGAAAUCACUUCACAUUAAAAUGAGAGAAAAUAACAUUAACAUUUUAUUUCUUCUCUCAAUAUUCAUAAAGUAAGAUUCUGUCAAUGAAUAUGUAUUAUUGUUUCUUCAAAAUUUGGCACAUUGUGAACCUUUAUUUUGUCUUCAUAAUUUGUCUAAAUUCAGUUUCUUUUGAAGAAUAAGGGGCAAAUCUACAACAAAAAACAUCCUUGUUGUCUUACAAUCAAGUGUAUCGUGUUUUCUGUAUGGUAAAAACUGCUAGAAAAAAUUCUUUUCUCUUGAUCUAUCUUCAAUUUUUGUAUUUCACAUUCCAUAGUUCUUGAAAAAGAAAAUUCAUUAGUAUAAAUUUCAUCUGAUACUUUAUAUAUAUAAAUAUAUAACUAGUAUUUCCUAUGGUGACUUAAAUAUAGCUCAGAUGUAAUAACUUAUUUCAUGUAACUUUAUCUUACAGUAAACAUGACCUGAUCUUAUAAAAAUCAGAACAGAAUUGAAAUUUUUUAAGAUUAAUUUAAAUCUCCUUGGUUCCUGGUGUAAACUGAGGCAUACAUUUAUACAUGAUCAUUGAAAUAUAAUUUAAUUUCACAACUCUUUGGUUUUUAGCUUUCAUUGUAUGCAAUUUCAAAUAGAAAAAGUAUAAAUAACUAUAAAUGGGAAAACUGUAUAAGAAUCACCAUACAAAUACUACUGUAUUAUAGUUUUAUAAGUGAAAAGA
rnacentral:lncRNA from 1 species